rfam:Puccinia sorghi strain RO10H11247 Scaffold_195, whole genome shotgun sequence.
GCGUACUUAGCUCAAUGGUUAGAGCAUCACUCAUUAAUUCUGAAGUUUUGGGUUUGAGUCCCACAGUACACA